rnacentral:rRNA from 1 species
UGCGUAGGGUGCAAGCGUUGUCCGGAAUUAUUGGGCGUAAAGAGCUCGUAGGCGGUCUGUCGCGUCUGCUGUGAAAACUCGGGGCUUAACCCCGGGCCUGCAGUGGGUACGGGCAGACUAGAGUGCGGUAGGGGAGACUGGAAUUCCUGGUGUAGCGGUGAAAUGCGCAGAUAUCAGGAGGAACACCGGUGGCGAAGGCGGGUCUCUGGGCCGUAACUGACGCUGAGGAGCGAAAGCGUGGGGAGCAAACAGG